rnacentral:sRNA from 1 species
AAUUAGCAUACCAAUGAAUUUAAAGAUUCUUUAAAGAGUCUUAUUUUGUGAUGAAAAUUUAAUAUAAAUCUCAGACGAUAGAUAAAUUAAAAACUCUAUCCUUUUUUUU